rnacentral:rRNA from 1 species
CGGCGUGCCUACACAUGCAAGUCGAGCGAAGCGCGAAAGUUAGCUUGCUAAUUUUUGUGACUGAGCGGCGAACGGGUGAGUAACACGUGGGUAAUCUACCUGGAAGUCUGGGAUAACAGUUCGAAAGGACUACUAAUACCGGAUGACAUUGAUGAUGUAGAGUCAUUGAUCAAAGCGUUACGGAGCGCUUUCAGAUGAGCCCGCGUCCCAUUAGCUAGUUGGUAGGGUAACGGCCUACCAAGGCGACGAUGGAUAGCCGGCCUGAGAGGGUGUACGGCCACACUGGGACUGAGACACGGCCCAGACUCCUACGGGAGGCAGCAGUGGGGAAUAUUGCCCAAUGGGGGAAACCCUGAGGCAGCAACGCCGCGUGAGCGAUGAAGGCCUUCGGGUCGUAAAGCUCUGUCCUGGGAGAAGAAUCCCUUGGAGGUGAAUAACCUCUGAGCUUGACGGUAUCCCAGGAGGAAGCCCUGGCUAACUACGUGCCAGCAGCCGCGGUAAUACGUAGAGGGCGAGCGUUGUCCGGAAUUAUUGGGCGUAAAGCGCGCGUAGGCGGUUACGUAUGUCCAAUGUGAAAGGCGCCGGCUUAACCGGCGAAUUGCGUUGGAAACUGUGUAACUUGAGUGCAGGAGAGGAGAGCGGAAUCCCUAGUGUAGCGGUGAAAUGCAUAGAUAUUAGGGAGAACACCGGUGGCGAAGGCGGCUCUCUGGACUGCAACUGACGCUGAGGUGCGAAAGCGUGGGGAGCGAACGGGAUUAGAUACCCCGGUAGUCCACG